rnacentral:rRNA from 1 species
CCUACGGGAGGCAGCAGUGGGGAAUAUUGCGCAAUGGGGGAAACCCUGACGCAGCAACGCCGCGUGGAGGAUGAAGGCUUUCGAGUUGUAAACUUCUGUCGGGUGAGAAGAAUCCCUGUAGGGUUAAUACCCCUUCAGGUUGACGGUAUUGCCAAAGGAAGCCCCGGCUAACUCUUGCCAGCAGCCGCGGUAAU